rnacentral:rRNA from 1 species
AUCCGGAAUGAUUGGGCGUAAAGGGUCUGUAGGUGGUGCUGUAAGUCUGCUGUUAAAGAGUCACGCUCAACGUGAUAAGAGCAGUGGAAACUACAGGACUAGAGUGCGUUCGGGGCAGAAGGAAUUCCUGGUGUAGCGAUGAAAUGCGUAGAUAUCAGGAAGAACACCGGUGGCGAACGGUUCUGCUAGGCCGCAACUGACACUGAGGGACGAAAGCUAGGGGAGCGAAUGGGAUUAGAUACCCCAGUAGUCCUAGCCGUAAACGAUGGAUACUAGGCGUGGCUUGUAUCGACCCGAGCCGUGCCGGAGCUAACGCGUUAAGUAUCCCGCCUGGGAGUACGCACGCAAGGUUGAAACUCAAAGGAAUUGACGGGGGCCCGCACAAGCGUGGAGUAUGUGGUUUAAUUCGAUGCAACCGAAGAACCUUACCAAGACUUGACAUGUCGCGAAUCUUUCUGAAAGGGAGAGUGCCUUCGGGAGCGCGAACACAGGUGGUGGCUAGGCUUCGUCCGAUCUGUUCGUGAAAUUUGGGUUAAGUCCCGCAACGAGCGCAACGCCUCGUUUGUUAGUUGCCAGCAUUAAGUUGGGCAGCUCUAGAGAGACUGCCGGUGACAAACCGGAGGAAGGUGA